rnacentral:rRNA from 1 species
UACCUACGGGGGGCAGCAGUGGGGAAUAUUGCACAAUGGGGGAAACCCUGAUGCAGCAACGCCGCGUGAGUGAAGAAGUAUUUCGGUAUGUAAAGCUCUAUCAGCAGGGAAGAAGAAAGACGGUACCUGACUAAGAAGCCCCGGCUAACUACGUGCCAGCAGCCGUGGUAAUACGUAGGUGGCAAGCGUUGUCCGGAUUUACUGGGUGUAAAGGGCGUGUAGCCGGGCUGACAAGUCAGAUGUGAAAUUCCGGGGCUCAACCCCGGACCUGCAUUUGAAACUGUUGGUCUUGAGUAUCGGAGAGG